AGCCGCGACGGCGGCGGACGGAGGGGGAGGGCCGCGAGCCUUCGGAACCAGCCUCGAGGGUGCUGAACCCCGCGCGCCCGCCUCGCCGCGGCCCCCGGGUGGGGGCGUCCACGGCCCGGGUUCCCGGCGGGCUUGGGGCAGGGACGCAGUCCGGAGAUUCCGGGACUGCCCGGCUGCUGCAGCCCGCAGGCUCCUCUCUCCUCCCCGCUUCCCCUCCGCACUGCCUGGGCUAAAGGCGGCCAAGCUGAGGCUCCGAAAGAAAAGGGAAAAUUGCAACCCUUGCCUACAACCAGACUGACAGCAUAAUUUCUUAGGAAUCAAGAAUCAAUACAGGGUUAUUUCUUUAGAUUAAACCUUAAAAGCCCCCUUGGAGGCUGAAGAAGCAGAGGAUAGCCAUGCAUACACUUGAACGUGAAAAAUGGUCCUCUUUCAUUGGAGAGGUCUUCCUCUUCAGCUAAACCGACAGAGUGGUGAAAAGAAGAAGGGACCCCUUGUUGACCAAAAUAAUCCAGACAAAUCAAAUCGGCCCUUUCCAGCAAGGAGUGGAACAGCCCAAGGGUGGCUAGAUCACAUCUUCUGCUCACACCACCACUGAGCAACCCUCUCCAGGACUGCCACCUAUGCAUAGGUCAUGCCCUGUGCAAGAGCACAUAAAGUGGGAGCUGAAGUCCUGCCCAGGCUCCAUUCACCAAGCAGAGCUUAUGUUGUUGUGUGUCUGUGUCUACCCAGAGGAUGUGGGUCCUUUUUAAAAUGUGCACCAAUGCAUCUUGUAUGAGCUGGCACCAGCUCGGACCAUCCCACCCUCAUACCCUGGUCCUAUCCAGGGUUAUAUUCCCUACUUUAGAAGAAUUAAUUAUUUUUAUGAACGUAUUUAGUUUAUUGUAAAAAAUGAAAUAUAUGACACAAAUUGAAAUUAAUUUCAGAGGUAAAGGUCAGAAUAUUACCAUGUAUGUGAAUUAUGUUUGUAUGUAUAUGUAUAUAUCAAGAGAGUUAUAUGAAUAUACAUUUUUGUGUAUCAGAAGUGAGGACAAUUUAACUUUGUUAAGUGUUUGAAAUAAAAUUAUUUUGAGUUUUG
rnacentral:lncRNA from 1 species